UUAACACAUGCAAGUCGAACGGAAGUAGCAAUACUUCAGUGGCGCACGGGUGAGGAACACGUAGCUCAUCUGCCCUCGAGAGCGGGAUAACGGUCCGAAAGGAUUGCUAAUACCGCAUAAGCUCCCGGUGAGUAGAGAACAGGGAGAAAAGGCGCAAGUCGCUUGAGGAGGAGGCUGCGGCCCAUCAGGUAGUUGGUGCGGUAACGGCGCACCAAGCCGACGACGGGUAGGGGACCUGAGAGGGUGACCCCCCACACUGGGACUGAGACACGGCCCAGACUCCUACGGGAGGCAGCAGUGAGGAAUAUUGCACAAUGGACGCAAGUCUGAUGCAGCGACGCCGCGUGGGUGAAGAAGGCCUUCGGGUCGUAAAGCCCUUUUCUGUGUGACGAGAACGGACGGUAGCACAGGAAAAAGUCUCGGCUAACUACGUGCCAGCAGCCGCGGUAAAACGUAGGAGGCAAGCGUUAUCCGGAGUUACUGGGCGUAAAGCGUGCGUAGGCGGAUGGGUAAGUGGGUCGUGAAAGCGCCGGGCUAAACCGGGCGAGGACGAACUAGACUGCCUGUCUAGAGGCGGAUAGAGGGGUGCGGAAUUCCGGGUGUAGCGGUGAAAUGUGUAGAGAUCCGGAGGAACACCAGUGGUGCAAACGGCGCCCUGGGUCCGAACUGACGCUGAGGCACGAAAGCGU
rnacentral:rRNA from 1 species